rnacentral:rRNA from 1 species
GAUGAACGCUAGCGAUAGGCUUAACACAUGCAAGUCGAGGGGCAGCACAAGGUAGCUUGCUCUCUGGGUGGCGACCGGCGCACGGGUGCGUAACGCGUAUGCAACUUGCCCUAUACAGGAGGAUAACCCGUCGAAAGACGGACUAAUACUGCGUAUGCUCACAACUUGGCAUCAAGUGGUGAGGAAAGAAAUUCGGUAUAGGAUAGGCAUGCGUCCCAUUAGCUUGUUGGUGAGGUAACGGCUCACCAAGGCAACGAUGGGUAGGGGAACUGAGAGGUUUAUCCCCCACACUGGUACUGAGACACGGACCAGACUCCUACGGGAGGCAGCAGUGGGGAAUAUUGGUCAAUGGGCGCGAGCCUGAACCAGCCAAGUCGCGUGAAGGAUGACUGUCUUAUGGAUUGUAAACUUCUUUUAUACGGGAAUAACAAGAGUCACGUGUGACUCCCUGCAUGUACCGUAUGAAUAAGCAUCGGCUAACUCCGUG